UGCCAACGGCCGUUAAACCCAAUAGAAGAAGCAGAUUAAGGGAAGACGAGGAUUGAAGUGAUUUAACAGAACCCAGUUUCUAGAAUGUAGUCUAAAGAUUAUGGGGAGGGAAACUGGGGUACGAACAUGGCAUGAUAUUUAGCACGCUGAUGUUAACAUUAUACAGUCGAGUCUGCCCUUAACGCUAGCAAAUUUCUCAACCCACUCCAUCUCGCUAACAGUGGUCAGAAUACUGUAGUUCAAUUGAAAUACCCCUUCACAUUUUUAGAACGAGAAAACAAAUGCCCUAGGACAAGUGACUGGAAUGCAGCCCUAGGACAAGUGACUGGAAUGCAGCCCUAGGACAAGUGACUGGAAUGCAGCCCUAGGACAAGUGACUGGAAUGCAGCCCUAGGACAAGUGACUGGAAUGCAGCCCUAGGACAAGUGACUGGAAUGGAGCCCUAGGACAAGUGACUGGAAUGCAGCUCCAGGACAAGUGACUGGAAUGCAGCCCUAGGACAAGUGAACUGGAACAAAGUUUUGUUGUUAUCUGGUAAAUAUUGUAUAUCUAAUAAGGUGAAAAGUAUCAUACAAACUCAUUCAUAGAAUCCACCCUGUAAAGACAUUUAUUAUACACAGAUUUAACAUAGCUAUUGAUAACAAAUGUGUAUUUUGUGGUUGUGACCCAGAAACUCUUGACCAUUUAUUUUGGGACUGUUCUUGUCAGAAGAUUUUGGAGUGAGUUAGAAGAUUUUAUUUUAAAAUAAACAAGUAUUAAUGUUAAUUUGAAAGACUCUGAUAUGUUUUAUUGUGAUCUAAAUGAUAUGGAUCCUGAUUUAACUUUCAUUGUUAAUUUGUUUAUCUUUCAUGGAAGAUUCUUUGUCCACAAAAUGAAGUGGGCAGAGAACAAACCAAUUUUCACAUGAUUUAAGAUAGAAUUUAAAUAUUAUUUUGAAAUGAUCAGUAAAUGUAAAAACUAAAAAGCAAUAAACACCAUAAAAGUA